GACGAACGCUGGCGGCGUGCUUAACACAUGCAAGUCGAGCGAUGAAGUUCCUUCGGGAAUGGAUUAGCGGCGGACGGGUGAGUAACACGUAGGUAACCUGCCUCAUAGAGGGGAAUAGCCUUUCGAAAGGAAGAUUAAUACCGCAUAAGAUUGUAGUAUCGCAUGAUACAGCAAUUAAAGGAGUAAUCCGCUAUGAGAUGGACCCGCGUCGCAUUAGCUAGUUGGUGAGGUAACGGCUCACCAAGGCGACGAUGCGUAGCCGACCUGAGAGGGUGAUCGGCCACAUUGGGACUGAGACACGGCCCAGACUCCUACGGGAGGCAGCAGUGGGGAAUAUUGCACAAUGGGGGAAACCCUGAUGCAGCAACGCCGCGUGAGUGAUGACGGUCUUCGGAUUGUAAAACUCUGUCUUCAGGGACGAUAGUGACGGUACCUGAGGAGGAAGCCACGGCUAACUACGUGCCAGCAGCCGCCGUAA
rnacentral:rRNA from 1 species